ACGCACGCUGGCGGUGUGCUUAACACAUGCAAGUCGAACGGUAAGGCCCUUUCGGGGGUACACGAGUGGCGAACGGGUGAGUAACACGUGAGUAACCUGCCCUCAUCUCUGGGAUAACAGUCGGAAACGGUUGCUAAUACUGGAUAUGAGCUUGCAAGGCAUCUUGUGGGUUGGAAAGAUUUUUUUGGUUGGGGAUGGACUCGCGGCCUAUCAGCUUGUUGGUGAGGUAGUGGCUCACCAAGGCUUCGACGGGUAGCCGGCCUGAGAGGGCGACCGGCCACAUUGGGACUGAGAUACGGCCCAAACGCCUACGGGAGGCAGCAGUGGGGAAUAUUGCACAAUGGACGGAAGUCUGAUGCAGCAACGCCGCGUGCGGGAUGACGGCCUUCGGGUUGUAAACCGCUUUCAAUUGUGACGAAGCUUUUUGUGACGGUAGCAGUAGAAGAAGCACCGGCUAACUACGUG
rnacentral:rRNA from 1 species